rnacentral:rRNA from 1 species
UGAGGAAUAUUGGUCAAUGGGCGAGAGCCUGAACCAGCCAAGUAGCGUGCAGGAUGACGGCCCUAUGGGUUGUAAACUGCUUUUAUAUGGGAAUAAAGUGAGGGACGUGUCCCUUAUUGCAUGUACCAUACGAAUAAGGACAGGCUAAUUCCGUGCCAGCAGCCGCGGUAAUACGGAAGGUCCAGGCGUUAUCCGGAUUUAUUGGGUUUAAAGGGAGCGUAGGCUGUUUGUUAAGCGUGUUGUGAAAUGUAAGAGCCCAACUUUUAGAUUGCAGCGCGAACUGGCAGACUUGAGUGCGCACAACGUAGGCGGAAUUCAUGGUGUAGCGGUGAAAUGCUUAGAUAUCAUGACGAACUCCGAUUGCGAAGGCAGCUUACGGGAGCGCAACUGACGCUAAAGCUCGAAGGUGCGGGUAUCGAACAGG